AUUGAACGCUGGCGGCAGGCCUAACACAUGCAAGUCGAGCGGAAGAAGGGAGCUUGCUCCUGGAUUCAGUGGCGGACGGGUGAGUAAUGCCUAGGAAUCUGCCUGGUAGUGGGGGAUAACGUCCGGAAACGGGCGCUAAUACCGCAUACGACCUGAGGGAGAAAGUGGGGGAUCGACAGACCUCACGCUAUUAGAUGAGCCUAGGUCUGAUUAGCUAGUUGGUGGGGUAAAGGCCUACCAAGGCGACGAUCCGUAACUGGUCUGAGAGGAUGAUCAGUCACACUGGGACUGAGACACGGUCCAGACUCCUACGGGAGGCAGCAGUGGGGAAUAUUGGACAAUGGGCGAAAGCCUGAUCCAGCCAUGCCGCGUGUGUGAAGAAGGUCUUCGGAUUGUAAACCGCUUUUAGUUGGGAAGAAAGGCUGUAAGCUAAUACCUUGCUGUGAUGACGUUACCAGCAGAAUAAGCACCGGCUAACUUCGUG
rnacentral:rRNA from 1 species